GCGGUUAAAAAGCUCGUAGUUGGAUCUCGGCAAGUAGAGGGCGGUAUGCUUCGUAGCAUUACUGCCCUAUUACUUGUAGUUUUGCCAGAGGUUCCUGGGUGCUCUUAAUCGAGUGUCUAGGGGUGCUGGCAGGUUUACUUUGAAAAAAUUAGAGUGCUCAAAGCAGGCUAUUACGCUUGAAUAUUCGUGCAUGGAAUAAUAGAAUAGGAAGUUGUUUCUAUUUUGUUGGUUUUCGGAAAUCGACUUAAUGAUUAAUAGGGACAGUCGGGGGCAUUUGUAUUCAAACGACAGAGGUGAAAUUCUUGGACCGUUUGAAGACAAACUACUGCGAAAGCAUUUGCCAAGAAUGUUUUCAUUAAUCAAGAACGAAAGUUAGAGGUUCGAAGGCGAUUAGAUUCCGCCCUAGUUCUAAUCCAUAUUUACGAUGCCAGCUAGCGAUCUGAGGACGUGUCUUUUGUAGACUCCUCAGGAAGCUUCCGGGAAACCAAAGCGUGUGGGUUCCGGGGGAAGUAUGGUUGCAAAGCUGA
rnacentral:rRNA from 1 species